AAAGCAUUUGUUACAAAGAUUGGCUGUGUUUUAAACAGGUGCUGGGUAUGUACUGGGCAGGAAAAUGGACUGGUUUUUAGAUAACUGCUUUUCAAUCGUUAUGUUGAUAAGUUGCUGUCAGCCAGGUGUGAAACCAAGUCUUAUUUUUUCUAAACAUGCUUUGAAAGGCUUUGAAGCUUAAUCUGCAGGGGUGAGGGCUGCUUCAUGAGCAAGGUAUCUGCACGCACCAACUGCCCUAACAGUCCUGAUGAGAAGGCUACUUGUAAAACUCCAUCGAAGUUGUGAGAGCAGGAGAGAGUAAGGAGGAAGAAUUUUAAUAAUUAGAGAACUCACCAGUCUGAGCAAUACGAUUGAUAAGUAGCAUAUAUUUAUAGCGAGGCACAAAAAAACACUUUUGCAUAAGAAGCUAUUAAGCACGUCAGACAGGAAGAAAUAGCUGCAUUGCAACAGUCCCAGAAGGGAGCCACAAACCAGAUGUCCAUGAGUUCCAUGUAGAUUGAAAUGUGGAUCUGCCAGCCACAGGAGCCAGAAACUGGAUUGCAGUCUAGGCUACACACCUUGUCAUGCACUAACACAUGCCUCCUGAAUUAGCUGGAAUGCAGAGCUUUGGGGUGCACCCUGUCAUCAUGAGAUGGCCUCAAGCAACAGCAGACCUACUCUCCUGAAGCUGUAUUGCAGCAAUAAUGCCGUGUCUUGAGGAGCAGGAUCUGGCUGGAUUGCUCAUGCAGAAGGGAAUGAUGAAUCAAUUGGGCAAGUGUGAAGGUUGGCAUACAUUGGGUUGCGACAUUAAUGCAAUCUCUUGGCAUAAUUUUCCAGUCCAGUUCCAGGAUUUGGACUUCUCCAGGUCAAGGGGGAGAAGGUGGGAGAGCAGCCUGCCCCCACCCCCAGAGCUCUGCCAUCCCCAUUUCCCUGCAGUGCUUUGUUCUUCCCUAGUGGAGACACCAUGACCCCCCAUAGCAGGGUAUGGGGGAAGAUGAAGGAUGC
ensembl:lncRNA